rnacentral:rRNA from 1 species
AACGCUGGCGGCGUGCCUAAUGCAUGCAAGUCGAGCGGGGCGCCUUUCGGGGUGACUUACGUCGGCGGACGGGUGCGGAACACGUGGGCGAACCUGCCCUGGGGUGGGGAUAGCCGAGGGAAGCUUCGGGUAAGUUCCGCAUACGGUCGAUCGUCGAGAGGCGAUUGAGGAAAAGGGUCUUCGGACUCGCCCUGGGAGGGGCCUGCGGCCGAUUAGCUAGACGGUGGGGUAACGGCCUACCGUGGCGAUGAUCGGUAGCUGGUCUGAGAGGACGACCAGCCACACGGGGACUGAGACACGGCCCCGACUCCUACGGGAGGCAGCAGCAAGGAAUCUUCCGCAAUGGGCGAAAAGCCUGACGGAGCAACGCCGCGUGCGGGAUGACGCCUUUCGGGGUGUAAACCGCUUUUCUCAGGGAAGAAGCACUGACGGUACCUG